AUACGGAGGGUGCAAGCGUUACUCGGAAUCACUGGGCGUAAAGCGCGCGCAGGCGGGCUGAUAAGUUGGAUGUGAAAGCCUACGGCUCAACCGUAGAACUGCAUCCAAAACUGUCAGUCUAGAGUGUGGGAGAGGAAGAUUGAAUUAGUUGUGUAGGGGUAAAAUCCGUAGAGAUAACUAGGAAUACCAAAAGCGAAGGCAAUCUUCUGGAACACUACUGACGCUGAGGCGCGAAGGCGUGGGGAGCAAACAGGAUUAGAAACCCCGGUAGUCC
rnacentral:rRNA from 1 species